UUCCUGCUCAGUUUCUGCUCAGUUCCUGCUCAGUUCCUCAAUUCCUGUUCAGUCCCUGCUCAGUUCCUGCUCAGUCCCUGCUCAGUUUCUGCUCAGUUCCUGCUCAGUUCCUCAGUUCCUGCUCAGUUCUUGCUCUGUUCUACCUCAGUCCUUCCUCAGUUCCUCCUCAGUCCCUCAAUUCCUGCUCAGUCCCUGCUCAGACCCUGCUCAGUUCCUGCUCAGUCCCUCAGUUCCUCCUCAGUCCCUUGGUUCCUGCUCAGUUCCUGCUCAGUUCCUGCUCAGUCCCUGCUCAGUCCCUGCUCAGUCCCUGCUCAGUUCCUGCUCAGUCUCUCAGUUCCUGCUCAGUUCCUCAGUUCCUGCUCAGUUCCUGCUCAGUUCCUCAGUUCCUGCUCAGUUCCUGCUCAGUUCCUCAGUUCCUGCUCAGUUCCUCAGUUCUUGCUCAGUCCCUCAGUUCCUGCUCAGUCCCUGCUCAGUCCCUGCUCAGUUUCUGCUCAGUUCCUCCUCAGUCCCUCAGUUCCUGCUCAGUUCCUGCUCAGUUCCUCAGUUCCUGCUCAGUCCCUGCUCAGUUCCUGCUCAGUCCCUCAGUUCCUGCUCAGUUCCUGCUCAGUCUCUCAGUUCCUCCUCAGUCCUUGCUCAGUCCCUGCUCAGUUCCUCCUCAGUCCCUCAGUUCCUGCUCAGUCCCUCAGUUCCUGCUCAGUUCCUGCUCAGUCCCACCUCUGUCCCUGCUCAGUCCCUGUGGGCAGUGUCUGAUGGUGUUGGUGGCUCUGUCUGGAUCUGUCCUGCUGGGAUCCUCCUCCCCCUGACUUCUCCCUGGAGAGCUGCUUGGAAGGGAGGGGGAUCUCACCCAGCUCCAGGCUGUUCAUCAGCCCUGCAGAGAACACCCCGUGCCUGACCAGCGCUGAUCCCUGUGCCUGUGUCACUUUGUCCCCUCCAGCCCAAAUGACCUGUGGUGUGGACGAGUUCCGGUGCAAGGACUCGGGCCGGUGCAUCCCGGCACGCUGGAAGUGUGACGGGGAGGACGACUGUGGGGAUGGAUCCGAUGAGCCCAAGGAGGAAUGCGGUGAGCA
rnacentral:lncRNA from 1 species